GUUUUUAAAAAAGUGUUUAGCUUUCAAAAUGACAAGAUGGAUUUCCCAAAGUAAUCUACUUAAAUAAUUUUCAGUGUUGAUUUAUGUAAGUUAUAGAAAUAUCCUAAAGAUUUAAAAAAUAUUAAAUAUGAAAAUAACUUUUCUCUCUUUUGCAGUGCAGGGAUUGGACGAACUGGAGUUCUUAUUACUAUGGAAACAGCAAUGUGUCUUAUUGAGUGUAAUCAACCUGUUUAUCCCUUGGAUAUUGUAAGAACAAUGAGAGAUCAAAGGGCAAUGAUGAUCCAAACACCUAGUCAGUACAGAUUCGUUUGUGAGGCUAUUUUGAAAGUGUACAAAGAAGAACUUGUUAGGCCUUUAAAGACAUCACUGCAUAAAUAGAAAGCAAAAGAUACCUUUCAGAGAAGAAUCUAUAAGACACAAGCUGCACUUGUGCUAUAAUGUUGCUUGCAAGAAAUGGUGUCAGAAAAUAAUGAAGAACUAAAAAGGACUUCAGCACUAUUGCACUUUAAGUUGAAACUGAAAAUCAGUCUCUAGAACACUAUGAUUUUUCUGUGUUGAAAGACUCCAUUCAUGCUUUGCUUCAAACAAGCCACAGACUGAAUGAACUCCAUGAGUUCUGGAUAAUUUUCCAGACUUGGUUGUAGUGCCAUAUAACCCUUUUGUUUGAAAUGCUACAAAAAAGAAAAAAAAAAGCUUGGAAUACUUUCAUCUUUGUUUGACACCUAUCUGUUUCUGAAGCAACAACAAUACAUGCAAAGCUAUUUCUUCCAAU